rnacentral:rRNA from 1 species
UACGUAGGGUGCAAGCGUUGUCCGGAAUUAUUGGGCGUAAAGAGCUCGUAGGCGGUCUGUCACGUCGGCUGUGAAAACUCGGGGCUCAACCCCGAGCCUGCAGUCGAUACGGGCAGACUAGAGUCCGGCAGGGGAGACUGGAAUUCCUGGUGUAGCGGUGAAAUGCGUAGAUAUCUGGAGGAACACCGGUGGCGAAGGCGGCGUCUGGACUGCAACUGACACUGAGGAACGAAAGCCAGGGGAGCAAACGGG